rnacentral:tRNA from 1 species
AGUUAAUUAACUUAAUAAAAGUAUAUAUUUUGAAAAUAUAUUAUAUAAGUUAAAAUCUUAUAUUAACUU